rnacentral:rRNA from 1 species
CUUGCCUACGGGAGGCAGCAGUGGGGAAUAUCGCACAAUGGGGGAAACCCUGAUGCAGCGACGCCGCGUGAGUGAAGAAGUAAUUCGUUAUGUAAAGCUCUAUCAGCAGGGAAGAGAAUGACGGUACCUGAGUAAGAAGCCCCGGCUAACUACGUGCCAGCAGCCGCGGUAAUACGUAGGGGGCAAGCGUUAUCCGGAUUUACUGGGUGUAAAGGGAGCGUAGACGGCAGUGCAGGUCUGGGGUGAAAGGCGGGGGCUCAACCCCCGGACUGCUCUGGAAACUGUACGGCUG